AGAGUUUGAUUCUGGCUCAGAUUGAACGCUGGCGGCAUGCCUAACACAUGCAAGUCGAACGGCAGCAUGUUCUGUAGCAAUACAGAAUGAUGGCGAGUGGCGUACGGGUGAGUAAUACAUAGGAAUCUGCCCUAGAGUGGGGGAUAACUCCGCGAAAGCGGAGCUAAUACCGCAUGAUCUCUACGGAGCAAAGCAGGGGACCUUCGGGCCUUGCGCUUUAGGAUGAGCCUAUGUCCGAUUAGCUAGUUGGUAGGGUAAAAGCCUACCAAGGCGACGAUCGGUAGCUGGUCUGAGAGGACGACCAGCCACACUGGAACUGAGACACGGUCCAGACUCCUACGGGAGGCAGCAGUGGGGAAUAUUGGACAAUGGGGGAAACCCUGAUCCAGCGAUGCCGCGUGUGUGAAGAAGGCCUGCGGGUUGUAAAGCACUUUCGAUGGGGAGGAAAGGCUCAAAGCUAAUAUCUUUGAGCAGUGACGUUACCCAUAUAAGAAGCACCGGCAAACUCUGUGCCAGCAGCCGCGGUAAUACAGAGGGUGCAAGCGUUAGUCGGAGUUACUGGGCGUAAAGCGUGCGUAGGUGGAUGCUCAAGUCGAUUGUGAAAGCCCCGGGCUUAACCUGGGAACUGCAGUCGAUACUGAGUUUCUCGAGUAUGGUAGAGGAAAGUGGAAUUCCCAGUGUAGCGGUGGAAUGCGUAGAUAUUGGGAAGAACACCAAUGGCGAAGGCAGCUUUCUGGACCUAUACUGACACUGAAGUACGAAAGCGUGGGGAGCAAACAGGAUUAGAUACCCUGGUAGUCCACGCCGUAAACGAUGAGAACUAGAUGUUGCUCUGCCACUGGUGGGGCAGUAUCGAAGCUAACGCGUUAAGUUCUCCGCCUGGGAAGUACGGUCGCAAGAUUAAAACUCAAAGAAAUUGACGGGGACUCGCACAAGCGGUGGAGCAUGUGGUUUAAUUCGAUGCUACCCGAAAAACCUUACCUACCCUUGACAUCCCAGGAAUCCUGCAGAGAUGUGGGAGUGCCUUCGGGAACCUGGAGACAGGUGCUGCAUGGCUGUCGUCAGCUCGUGUCUGAGAUGUUUGGUUAAGUCCUGUAACGAGCGCAACCCUUGUUCUUAGUUGCCAUUUUUAUGUUCGCAUAAAAGGAACUCUAAGAAGACUGCCGGUGAUAAACCGGAGGAAGGUGGGGAUGACGUCAAGUCAGCAUGGCCCUUACGGGUAGGGCCACACACGUGCUACAAUGGGGAGUACAGAGGGUAGCCAAGUCGCAAGACGGAGCUAAUCUCAGAAAACUACUCUUAGUCCGGAUUGGAGUCUGCAACUCGACUCCAUGAAGUUGGAAUCGCUAGUAAUCGCGAAUCAGCAUGUCGCGGUGAAUACGUUCUCGGGUCUUGUACACACCGCCCGUCACACCAUGGAAGUGUAUUGUACCAGAAGAAGCUAGCCUAACCGCAAGGAGGGCGGUUUCCACGGUAUGAUAUAUGACUGGGGUGAAGUCGUAACAAGGUA
rnacentral:rRNA from 1 species